CCGGUGUCCUCAUAAAAGAGGAAGAGACACUGGAGAUCUCUCUCUCUGCCAUGUGAGGGCAGAGUAAGAACACAGCCAUCUGUAAGCAGGAAAAAACCUUCUCACAAGAGCCUGACCAUGCUGGCAUCCUGAUCUCAGACUUCCAGCCUUCAGAUGACCUCAAUCUCUCUACCAAGACCUUGAUCUCUGAUGUGGAACUUUGUCAAAUGCUGUCUGAAAUGUAGGAGCACACUCUUCACCGCAUGAGGACAAAGCCGGAGUCUUCCUUUAAAGGCAGGAGGUUGCUGAAUGAAUAAACAUUGGCAUUUCA